rnacentral:misc_RNA from 1 species
GAUGAAGAACGUAGCGAAAUGCGAUAAGUAAUGUGAAUUGCAGAAUUCAGUGAAUCAUCGAAUCUUUGAACGCACCUUGCACUCCUUGGUAUUCCGAGGAGUACGCCUGUUCGAGUGUUAUGAAGCUCUCAAAACGCAAUUGGCUUAAAACCUGAUUGUUGUUUUGGAUUUGAACUUCGCCGUGUUAUAACGGCUGGUUUUAAAAGUAUUAGCUGGUACUAGAACGAAUUGGUUCUACUCAACGUGAUAAUUAUCUGAUCGUUGAGGACAUUCCUUUCACGAGGAAUGGCCAUAGUAAAUUCAAUGGACUGCUUCUAAUCUGGCUUUAAUUCUUUAUUGGAUUAACCACUUUUCAAAUCUGACCUCGAAUCAGGUGGGACUACCCGCUGAACUUAAGCAUAUCAAUAAGCGGAGGA